rnacentral:rRNA from 1 species
GGCCUCAAAUCAGGUAGGACUACCCGCUGAACUUAAGCAUAUCAAUAAGCGGAGGAAAAGAAACUAACAAGGAUUCCCCUAGUAACGGCGAGUGAAGCGGGAAGAGCUCAAAUUUGAAAUCUGGUGGACUUUGUUCAUCCGAGUUGUAAUCUAGAGAAGUGUUUUCCGUGCCGGCCAAUGUACAAGUCCCUUGGAACAGGGCGUCAUAGAGGGUGAGAAUCCCGUACUUGACAUUGAUCACCGGCGCUCUGUGAUACAUUUUCAAAGAGUCGAGUUGUUUGGGAAUGCAGCUCAAAACGGGUGGUAAAUUCCAUCUAAAGCUAAAUAUUGGCGAGAGACCGAUAGCGAACAAGUACCGUGAGGGAAAGAUGAAAAGCACUUUGGAAAGAGAGUUAAACAGUAUGUGAAAUUG